UGAAGAAAAGAGAAGACAGAAAUAGAGACCAGCUGGUGGACAUGUUUUGGAUUUGCAGAGCAUCAGAGCAGCCUGAGGACCUGCCCAUCUCAAAUCCACGUUGGUGAAAUCCCUCAGCCACAUUUUCUGAGCAGAUGAUUACAGAUGCUCUCCUGCUCUUUGUAUUUGAAUCCUCAGCCUGAGUGGACAAGGCAAGCAGGACAGAGGAGCAAAGCACAAGGCAAGCAAAGGACAAGGACUGACUCUCUGGCGAAUUUGCCUAACUUCCAUUUCAUGGUACAUCUGGGCUGGGCAGAUCCCCGAGGAAAACAACAACUUUAGUUGUAGGUACUUGAGAGCAGUCAUUAUCUCUGUUCCAAUUAAUUCAUCAAUCAGUGUUUACCAAGUUGCCACUGAGAACAGGGACCAGCACUGAGUCCUGCUGAGCCGGGGAGGAUGGCGGAGGCUGUGAAGACCGAGGCUGUGCUCUGGAGCAGCCAUAACCAGGAGCCAAGGGACUGAGCUCUCUUUCUGAGUUGGCACUGCCUGACACCAGGCAACUCAGUUAUCCCUUCGAGCCUUACACUGGGAAGCAGGACACCAGCCAGGUCACCAACCUGAGGAACAACAGACACAAUGUGUGUGAACACUCUUUGAAAAACAUUAAGCUUGACAUAAAUGAGAGCAUUCAUCACGACCUGUAAUAGAAAAUAAAG